rnacentral:rRNA from 1 species
UACGUAGGGGGCCAGCGUUGCGCGGAAUUACUGGGCGUAAAGGGUUCGUAGGUGGUGUGGCAAGUUGGGAGUGAAAUCUCUGGGCUUAACCCAGAGGCUGCUUUCAAAACUGCCAUGCUCGAGUGCGAGAGAGGUCAGUGGAAUUGCAGGUGUAGCGGUGAAAUGCGUAGAUAUCUGCAGGAACACCCGUGGCGAAGGCGGCUGACUGGAUCGCAACUGACACUGAGGAACGAAAGCUAGGGGAGCAAACAGG